AUGGAAGCUUCGGAAGGCAAAUUCUUCAAACUAGAGCAUUGUUGGGACUUGCUCAAAGACUGCGAGAAGUGGAAGUUGAUCGACAAAGAAUCCCCACCGAAGAGAGGUUCACUUACAAACAUGGAUGAAGAUGAGGAUGAUGAUGGCGCUAGAAAUUUGAACAAACCCGAUGGCGACAAGAAGACUAAGGAGAAGAUGAAGAGAGAGCAUGAAGCAUCGAGCUUGAGGGAGAAGAUUGAUGUCAUGGUGCAAUCAAAUGAGUUGAUGUUGUCGAAGUCGUUGGAGAUCAAGAAAGAGUUGACCGAGAAGAAGGCAAGGGAGAAGCAAGAAAAAUGGCAAUUGCUCAAGAAAAGAGGGGCUGCGCAAAGCAGCCAUUGA
rnacentral:rRNA from 1 species